rnacentral:rRNA from 1 species
UACGUAGGGUGCGAGCGUUGCCCGGAUUUAUUGGGCGUAAAGGGCGCGCAGGCGGCUACGCACGUCCGUUGUGAAAGCCCCCGGCUCAACUGGGGAGGGUCAUUCGAUACUGAUCGACUCGAAGGCAGGAGAGGGUAGUGGAAUUCCCGGUGUAGUGGUGAAAUGCGUAGAUAUCGGGAGGAACACCAGUGGCGAAGGCGACUACCUGGCCUGUUCUUGACGCUGAGGCGCGAAAGCUAGGGGAGCAAACGGG